AGAUUCAAGACCUCUAUAUAUCCCAUCCCAUAAAUCUUUUAAUCAAUUAAAAUCAACCCAUUUUCUCUACCAAACCCAUUAUCAUACCACUCAUCCCCAUUACCUUAAAUAAAUAUAUCACAUCACCCCAUUAUAUUUUGUCCCCCAUGCCCAACAUAAACAAAUACAAGAUUCCCCCACACUAAAAUUUGUCUUGUCCCCCCUUUAUAUUAAACAACUAUAUCACAACCCACCCCAUUACAUUUUGUCCCCCAUGCUUAACAUAAAGAAUCAAAAUAAUGUUCAAUUACCAAACUACCCCUCCGACCUUAUUGCAAUUACCAUUCUACCCCUGAAUGCAAUGCAAUUUACCAAAUUACCCCCAUCAGCUCUAAACACUCAAUUAAUCAUAACUUUAACCAAAAUAUAGCCCAUAUGACCAAUUUCUACACAAAUUCAAACAACAAAUCACAUGAACAUGAUUUCUUCAACAUUUCAACAACAAAUCACAUGAACACAAAUUGAACAACAAAGAACAACUAAAAUUUGAUUGAACAAUAUUUUAGCAACAAACAAUCCUAUUUUCGGAUUCAACAACAACAACAAACAAGUAUAUUUAGAUUUCUAAAUUCAAUAAUAUUGAACUUAAAAUCAACUCUAACAAUAUUACAACCAACAAUUCCUAUAUUAAACUUAAACAAGAUUAUGAAACAAAUUCAAGAAAUAAUCAUAAAUGAUAAACAAGAAAUCAAAACUAUACAAAUUUCGGAUUCAAGAACAACUAAACAAAGUAUGGACAUAAAUUAAAUUUAUUUUGAACAAAAAUAACAUGACGGAUUCAAAUGAUUAAACCAACAUACUUCCCUAUCACAACUAAAUUCUUUUAGGCAAAUAACAAAACAAAACCUAAGAAGAAACAAUUAUGAAUUUAAACUUGAACUUAACAAUAUUAACCAUUUCUGGAAAAUACAUAAAAUACAUAAAACAAAUUGAGGAAACAAUUAAUUAAACUUCAAUUUGUAUCUAACUAACAUUAAACUAACAACAUUUACCUAAACAAUAAAACAAACAUGAAAUAAACAUGAAAAAUUCACCAAAUAAUGAACAACACAAACAUUUGCCGAUUUUAGAUUCGAGAAUAUCAAAACGAAAUACAGACAAAAUAAAACUCAAAAUCUACUAACCGGAUCGAACGAACUAUGUACGGACUGUUUUGACGAACCUCGAAUGGGAAUAAAUCUGUCCGGACUCAACGACGAGCUCACCUCCCUUUUAAACUUGAUGAACUCAAAACGACGCUCGACGACCUCGACUAAAACUCGAAUAAACGAAAUGGUGGCAGCAACAUAGAUGAAACAAAAUAAACUGCUCGUCGUGGAAGCAACGCAGCAAAACAAAGUGGGUUUGGACGUAACGAAGCAGGAGCGUCUGUACGUAGCGAAGCAGGAGGAGGGCGCUAUGGUUUCUGCAACUUCACUGUAACAGGAAAGGGAACAGGUAAUCUCGGUAAGAGGAGGAAUGAGACUCACACACUAUGUGUGAGGUGAGAGAAGGCACUCCGCAAUGUUCCUCGCAUAUUCAAGACUGGUUUCAGAGAAGGGACUGAAGCAGCACCAAGGAAGAAGACAGCAGCAGCCAUGUGCGAUGGAGGUCGAAGCUAAGGCGGCAGCUACCAUGGGUGUCGAGCUUCAAGCUCGACGCCGGAGAAUACGAAACAUUAGCCAUGGGGUCUGUUUGGAUGUAGCAAAGCUGCUGGGCAGCGACUGAAGAAGAUGAAGC
rnacentral:lncRNA from 1 species